GAUGAACGCUGGCGGUAUGCUUAACACAUGCAAGUCGAACGGACUCUUCGGAGUUAGUGGCGGACGGGUGAGUAACGCGUGAGAAUCUGGCUUUGGGUUCGGGACAACCACUGGAAACGGUGGCUAAUACCGGAUGUGCCGAGAGGUAAAAGAGAAAUGGCCUGAAGAUGAGCUCGCGUCUGGUUAGCUCGUUGGUGAGGUAAAGGCCCACCAAGGCAGCGAUCAGUAGCUGGUCUGAGAGGAUGACCAGCCACACUGCGACUGAGACGCGGCCCAGACGCCUACGGGAGGCAGCAGUGGGGAAUUGUCCGCAAUGGGCGAGAGCCUGACGGAGCAAUACCGCGUGAGGGAAGAAGGUUCUUGGGUUGUAAAGCUCUUUUCUUAGGGAAGAACAAAAUGACGGUACCUAAGGAAUCAGCAUCGGCUAACUCCGUG
rnacentral:rRNA from 1 species